UACGGAGGGUGCAAACGUUGCUCGGAAUCAUUGGGCGUAAAGCGCACGUAGGCGGCCCAGCAAGUCGGGUGUGAAAGCCCUCGGCUCAACCGAGGAAGUGCAUUCGAAACUACUGGGCUUGAAUACUGGAGAGGAUCGCGGAAUUCCCGGUGUAGAGGUGAAAUUCGUAGAUAUCGGGAGGAACACCAGUGGUGAAGGCGGCGAUCUGGACAGAUAUUGACGCUGAGGUGCGAAAGCGUGGGGAGCAAACAGG
rnacentral:rRNA from 1 species